GCGUUCAUAUCGAGUUCCUUUUAACGGGAAUCGGCAGGAUAUAAUGAGCUUCGAAUGCAUACUACAUGAUAAAGAGGUUUGUAAAAAUACAAAAUAUAGACAUACAUUUAUUUUGUACUGUUAACUUAUCAUAGUUUCAUAUCUGUGCAUGGGUCUAAGACACAUGCUUCCUUCGAAAGGAAUUUAGUGAAUAGUGUUGUGGGGAAAAUCAAAGAAGGGCGUUAUUAUGUGUUCCACAAAUUCUACAUAAGGUCAAAUCACAUGCGUUUCAAAACCACAGAUAAUGAUUUUCGUAUAAUAAUGACACAAAACAGUCAGAUCUGUGCUAUUGAAGCUAAUGAAUUUCCAACUGAUAAGUUUUCAUUCAAGACAUUUGGUGAAAUUGUUGGAAUUGAAAAUGUUAUAGAUACAACGCUAUUUGGUUAAAAUUUGAGUUUUUGUAAUUGUUUGUUUAUGUUGAAUGGUAGUGAUUUUACUUUAAAUGUGCUACAGAUGUUAUUGGAGUUAUUGUGGAGAGUGGUGGUGUUGUGAAUCAACCUAACGCCAAGAUGCUUGAGCUGAAACUUGAGGAUGAGAAGUAAUAUUUAUGUUUAAUAAUAUUGUUAUAUGUUUUUUUGUUUCUCAUUUGCUUGAUGAUGAAUUUAAGUUUUUAAUUUUUUUUGGCAGUCAUAAUUCUAUGGUUUACACUUUGUGAGAAGAAUUUGUUGAUAAAUUUUUGAAGUCAAGUUGAUCCAAAUAUGAAAAAAAAUACCAAUAGUGCUAGUACAAUUCUGCAGGGCACACAUAUACAAGGAUAAUGUAUUUUUGCUGUAUAAGUUAUAAGCUUUGAUAUAUAUAGUUUUUGAAGUUUUGUUCAUGGUUGCAGGGGAGGUAAGAAUCUCAACUUCUUACAACAUUUCAAAGGUUCUACUAAACACAGACAUCAAAGAAAUGAAUAAUUUCAGGCAGAGGUAAGAUCUUUUGUUUUUUGAGCUGAUUAAGCAUUUUAUUUAAAGAGUGCAGAAUUGGUUUUUUUUUUUUUUUGUUAUAUGUUGUAGAAUCUUUGGAAACCUUCAAUUCUUCGAGACUAUGGACAUUGUUUUCAACAAUCAACCUAAUAGGUAGAUUGAUGAGACUGAAAAUCUGGAGGUCAAAUCUAUUGAAGAUGUUUUUUGUUUGGAGGUAUCAUUUCUAAAAAUCUAAAUUUAUGGUUUCUGUUUAAACUGCAGCAUUGAAAUUUGAAAAUUAAAGUACCUAUAUUUUGUAUCUUUUUGUGAAGCUCAGGAUGGUGCUAUUGGAUUUGUGGAAAGGUUGAUCAUAUUGACUCAAAUUCUGAAUGGUGGUACAUGGCAUGUAAACGCUGGUCUAAAAAAAUAGCUAAAGUUGAUAGUAAGUUCUUUUGCGAUAGAUGCAAGAAAUACGAUGGGAUAGCUAGCAAAAGGUAAAAUUUUACAAUAAUUCAUUAUAGAUUCGAGAGUUGUUAUAAUUUGAUAUUUUAUAAUUGUUUUUGUUGAUAGGUUUAUGUUGAGGAUCAAUGUGGUUGAUGCGAGUAGCAAUAACUGAAAUAAAACACUCACUAUAUACCUUAACACCUCCACCAUUUAUCUCCUAAGCUCUUUUUCCCAAGAGUUGAACAACCUCACGAUCCCACAACAAAAGAGUAGCAUUGCUACUCGCAUCAACCACAUUGAUCCUCAACAUGAACCUAUCAAUAAAAAAUAAUUAUAAAAUAUCAAAUUAUAACAACUCUCGAAUCUAUAAUGAAUUAUUGUAAAAUUUUACCUUUUGUUAGCCAUCCCAUCGUAUUUCUUGCAUCUAUCGCAAAAGAACUUACUAUCAACUUUAGCUACUUUUUAAGUAUAGCGUUUACAUGCCAUGUACCACCAUUCAGAAUUUGAGUCAAUAUGAUCAACCUUUCCACAAAUCCAAUAGCACCCAUCUUGAGUUUCACAAAAAGAUACAAAUUAUAGUACUUUAAUUUUCAAAUUUCAAUGUUGCAGUUUAAAUAGAAACAAUAAAUUUAGAUUUUUAGAAAUGAUUACUCCAAACAAAAAACAUCUUCAAUAGAUUUGACCUCUAGAUUUUCAAUCCCAUCAAUCAACCUCUUAGGUUAAUUGUUGAAAACAAUGUUCAUAGUCUCGAAGAAUCGAAGGUUUCCAAAGAUUCUACAACAUAUAACAAAAAAAAUCAAUUCUGCACUCUUUAAAUAAAAUGCUUAAUCAGCUCAAAAAACAAAAGAUCUUUACACCUGUCUGAAAUCAUUCAUUUCUUUGAUGUCUGUGUCUAGUAGAACCUUUGAAACGUUGUAAGAAGUAGAGAUUCUUACCUCCCCUGCAACCAUGAAUUAAACUUCAAAAACUAUAUAUAUAUCAAAGCUUAUAACUUAUACAGCAAAAAAACAUUACCCUUGUAUAUGUGUGCCCUGCAGAAUUGUACCAGCACUAUUGGUAUUUUUUCACAUUUGGAUCGACUUGACUUAAAAAUUCAUCAACAAAGUCUUCCCAUAAAGUGCAAACCACAGAAUUAUGACUGCCAAAAAAAAAAAUUAAAAACUUAAAUUCAUCAUCAAGCAAAUGAGCAGCAAAAAACAUAUAACAAUAUUAUAGAACAUAAAUAUUACUUCUCAUCCUCAAGUUUCAGCUCAAGCAUCUUGGCGUUAGGUCGAUUCACAACACCACCACUCUCCACAAUAACUCCAAUAACAUCUAUAGCACAUUUAAAGUAAAAUCACUGCCAUUCAACAUAAACAAACAAUUACAAAAACUCGAAUUUUUACCAAAUAGCGUUGUAUCUGUAGCAUUUUUAAUUCCAACGGUUUCACCAAAUGUCUUGAAUAAAAACUUAUCAGUUGGAAAUUCAUUAGCUUCAAUAGCACAGAUCUGACUCUUUUGUGUCAUUAUUAUACGAAAAUCAUUAUCUGUGGUUUUGAAACGCAUGUGAUUUGGCCUUAUGUAGAAUUUGUGGAACACAUAAUAACGCCCUUCUUUGAUUUUCCCCACAACACUUCACUAAAUUCCUUCCGAAUGAAGCAUGUAUCUUAGACCCCUGCACAGAUAUGAAACUAAGAUCAGUUAACAGUACAAAAUAAAUGUAUGUCUAUAUUUUGUAUUUUUACAAACCUCUUCAUCCUGUAGUAUGCAUUCGAAGCUCAUUAUAUCCUGCCAAUUUCCGUUAAAAGGAACUCGAUAUGAACACAGUACUCUGACUUUUAUUGCAGAUGUGGUAAUCGAAGGAUGGAGAUCAUUGAUCAUACACACCAACGACGCCAUCUUUCUUCAAACUGAUACUGAGAAUAGCUGUAGAAUACAAAACACAAAACAUUUGUUCUACGUGUUUUAUGCUUCAUAAAAGAAAUGAAGAAAGUGAAUAAAAGAAACCUAAAGUUUCGGUGUGUCAAAACAAAUGAAAUGCACAGUUGGGUGAAUUUUGCAUUCGUGAAAUUUUGUUGAAGAAAAAUUAGGGGGCUGAGGGUUUCGUGGAAUUGUUGAAAGACACAGAGAACUUGGGGCUGAACUAGGGGGAGAGAUGAGGCAGCGAAGAGGAGAGAAAUCAGGCAAAAAGGUGGGGCUGUCGGACUAGGUCUUGCACGCAGGUGUGGCUCCGCCUACUGUUGUCAUCGCCAGAGUUAAAUAUGGUGUCGCCGGCGGCGCGACGUCUGCAUAGUGUAUGAUGAGGGAGAGAGUGCCGAGAGAGAGAGACAUGUUUGGGGAAGGAGUUAAGCUAUACUUAUUUUUUCUUAAACAUGUGGGACCUUCUAUUUUACAACACUAAUUUCGCACUCCUUAAUCUCCGUGCCCAAAAGAAAGGGGACAACAUUAUUGGGACGGGAGCAGUACUAUUUUAUUAUUAUUCUUCUUAUAUUCUUA